rnacentral:rRNA from 1 species
UACGGAGGGUGCAAGCGUUAAUCGGAAUUACUGGGCGUAAAGCGUGCGCAGGCGGUUUGUUAAGUCUGCUGUGAAAUCCCCGAGCUCAACUUGGGAAUUGCAGUGGAUACUGGCAAGCUGGAGUACGGUAGAGGAAGGUGGAAUUCCCGGUGUAGCAGUGAAAUGCGUAGAUAUCGAGAGGAACACCAGUGGCGAAGGCGAGUCCCUGGACAGGUCCUGACGCUGAGGCACGAAAGCUAGGGGAGCAAACAGG